rnacentral:lncRNA from 1 species
UGCGCGGCGCCGCGGGGCCUUAGCGGACGGAGGGGAGCGCGGGGGUCACCGGGCCGGGCCGGCAGCCCUAGAGCUCGGCCUGGCGGGGACCCUGGGCCAGCCCCGCGCCUCCGUGGCCCGGGCGUCUCGUGCGUGUCCGCGAACUCGCGUGCGCGCGUCACCUCGGACCGCAGCAUGGCUCGGAGGGCGGCCCUACUCGCGCCGCCCUAGUGCUGCGAAGGGCCUCGGAGCCCAAACCCGGAACCGCCAUCUGGGACUGGGAAGACGACAUGGCCAGAAGCCGACUGGACAGCCGGCACCACCCCAUGAUUCAAGGAUGGCCAUAGCCCAGUGCAGGAGCAGAUUUGCUUCCAGUUUGCCCUUCCUCCUAGCUGAACUCCAGGCUCCAGCCCAGAGAAGCAAGAAAAGAGCAAACAGAAGUUAUUCACAUGUGCAUCAGGUGGAGUCUCGCUCUGUCACCCAGGCUGGAGUGCAAUGGCACGGUCUCAGCUCACUGCAACCUCUGCCUCCCAGAUUCAAGCAAUUCUGCCUCAACCUCCUGAGUAGCUGGGACUACAGGCACGUGUCACCACGCCCAGCUAUUUUUUUUUUUUUUUUUUUUUUUUUGAGACAGAGUCUCCCUCUGUCGCCCAGGCUGGAGUGCAAUGGCGCAAUCUCAGCUCACUGCAAGCUCCGCCUCCCCGGUUCCCGCCAUUCUCUUGCCUCAGCCUCCCGAGUAGCUGGCACUACAGGCGCCUGCCACCCAUGACCGGGUAAUUUUUUUUGUAUUUUUUAGUAGAGACGGGGUUUCACUGUGUUAGCCAGGAUGGUCUCGAUCUCCUGACCUCAUGAUCCGCCCGCCUCGGCCUCCCAAAGUGCUGGGAUUACAGGCGUGAGCCACCAUGCCCGGCCUUAAUAACUUUUUAAAGGAUGUCAAGUUAAUGGAAUGUAUUCUGCUUUAGAAAAUAAAACUCUUAGGUUUUCAAAACUUAGCAGCCCCAGCAUUACCAAGGGCCUGCCUACCGUUUACAGUAUGUGAAUCCUACUUCCUUUUCAUGGUUGUAAGACUGGGAUUUUCUGGGAGCCGACCUGCAGGAGUCCACAGGCCACCCGUUAGGACUGUGCACGCUCCUCCACAAACAUGCCUGUGGGGGGAUCCUUGGCUCUCUCUGCAGGGGUGCGUUGGGUGUGCACCAGCUGGGAAGGAAGGAUCUGUCGGAACUGCAAUCAAAGCCACGGCAGGCCUCCCAGGGUCUUACUGGUGGUGAAAACAACCAGCUUCCUCGUCCCUCCCUCAAGCAUGGCAACCACCGCCCUGAGACUCAAAGAUACCUGGAGGAGUGUGAUCGGGCUGACCUGUUGCUCUUAUCUGGAAUUCUUUGAGGGUGAUGGGAGAUCACUUCUUUUUUUUUUUUUUUUUUUUUUUUGAGACAGGAUCUUGUUUUGUCAACCAGGCUGGAGUGCAGGUUCAGGUGAUUCUUCCGCCUCAGCCUCCCCAAGUAGGCUGAGUAGCUGAGAAAACAGAUGCGCACCACCAUGCCUGGUUAAUUUUUGGAUGUUUUGCAGCCAUGUGGUUUCACCAUGUUGUCCAGUCUGGUCUUGAACUCCUGAGCUCAAGGGAUCCUCCCACCUCGGCCUCCCAAAGCAUUGAGAUUACAGGUAUGAGCCACUGUACCCGGCUACCCAGGAGAUUACUAUUUUUUGGCAUAAAACCAAACAAAACUAUUCAUUAGUUUAUCCACUCAACAUUGAUUUAUUAUUCCUGACUGCAGCCAACAACAUUGUGAAUACUUUCCCUGCCUCAAGCUCUGUUCUAGGUCCUAGAACAUUCAUGACAAUUUGUUUCUCUGCCCUCUGGCAGGUGAGAAAACUUUGUAAGAAGUUUCAAUAGCAAAAAGUAUGAGAAGAUGUACAAUAGAUCUGGGACUAUUUGUAACAAACCCGGUGGAAGAUGUAGGAGCAGAGGUGGAAGGCCUUAAAGAGGGUCCUGCGCAUGCCGGGCGGGCCUCCAACAGAGAAAACACACAACCUGGCCAGGCACAGUGGCUCACGCCUGUAAUCCCAGCACUUUGGGAGGCCAGUGCGGGUGGAUCACCUGAGGUCAGGAGUUCGAGAUCAGCCUGGCCAAUGUAGUGAAACCCCAGUCUCUACCAAAAAUACAAAAAUUAGCCGGGCUUGGCACAGGCUUGCAAUCCCAGCUGAGGCAGGAGAAUCGCUUGAACCUGGGAGGUGGAGGUUGCAAUGAGCCAAGAUCAUGCUUUUGCACUCCAGCCUGGACGACAGAGUGAGACUCUGUCUCAAAACAAAAUAAAUAAAAUAGACACGCAAUCCAUACCACAGCCACCAGGGUGAUUGUCCAGGUUGUAUUUCUGCUGACAUCGACCCUUCAUGCCUUCCUCUUGUUGACCCUUCCAGCUACACCUAGCUCGGUCCUCUUCGGAGCCACGCCAACACCCAGGUUCCUCUGCAGUGCAUCCCCAUGGGGAU